UGAUCUAAAAAAAGCUUGAUUUAAGUUAGGUUUGGAUUAACUAUUUGCAGGGCUUAACUUCAUCAGUUUGAAGUGCAGAACUUUUAGACGCUUCUAACAUGUAACUGUACCUAAGUGGAUGUUUAAUUCUCAACCUCAUGCAGCAAUUACAUCUGGUUUUCAUUCCUAAAACUAGUCAGAUUACUGUGAUUCUAACUAUGCCUUUAAAGGUCAUUGCUGAAAGGGAAAAUAGCCGUUUAAUUAACUUCUGGUGUUGCUCUUGCAGGUAGGAGGCCUGAGGAUUCUGAUUAUACAGUUGAUGUACUUAGCAGAUGUUCUGGAAGUAAGGAUAGCAGCGGAAAGAAAACAAUGAAGUUUAUUCCUCUGAAAGAAAAUGGAGAACCAGUUGUUAUUUCACCGCCACUUCCAUAGAACAGAUUGAGGAACUAAGCAGCAUCUGGAUGUACAUACCUGAGGAUCUUCUGCUUGUAGAAGCUCUAGAAAACACCUUGAGAAAAGUUGAAGAAGUGUUAUCAAGGUUUGCUAAAGAUGGGAUAUCUCUAUUGGAUCAAGAAGAGGAUAUCAAGGUACAAUACAAUCAAAAUCUUUUCGAAAAGCUACCAGAAGAAUAGAAGCUCUGGAGGGCUUAUUUUAGAAGCAUGAUAACCAUAGUUCUGCCCAUAUCCAGGAAAAACUUAGUCUUUCAUGCUAAGCAAGAAUUAUCAGCUAAUAUAAAGUCCAUCAAGAAGCUCCAGGAUGGCCCUGAAGCCAAGGGAGCAGAUUGAUUUGCUCUUCUACCAAUUGCAGGAAACAGCGAGAAGGGUUGCUAACCUUCAGCUGGAGUGCAAGAUCCAAAUUGACGUGGAAAGCUUUGCG